rnacentral:rRNA from 1 species
UACGGAGGGGGCUAGCGUUGUUCGGAAUUACUGGGCGUAAAGCGCACGUAGGCGGCUUUGUAAGUUAGAGGUGAAAGCCCGGGGCUCAACUCCGGAAUUGCCUUUAAGACUGCAUCGCUAGAAUUGUGGAGAGGUAAGUGGAAUUCCGAGUGUAGAGGUGAAAUUCGUAGAUAUUCGGAAGAACACCGGUGGCGAAGGCGGCAUCCUGGACCACGACUGACGGCUGAGUGAGCGAAAGCCAGGGAGCAAACGGG